ensembl:lncRNA
UUAAAAGAAGGUGCCAUGUUUCUUUCUCUUUCCCAGCAAUUCUACCUACUCACCCCCACUCCCAUCCCACUGUCCUUCUCCUAUCCUAAGAGAAUCAAGACUAACAAAGAAGAGAGGAAGAAGAUAAAACGAGGGCAAUGAAGAAUCCUGUACAAGGUAUUCUUGCCUGCUGUUGUGUCUUAGCCAAGUGCAAAUGUGUGUCCAGUAUUAUUUUGAACUACCAGGGAAGAGCUGUUAGAAGAACCCAGAUGAACUUUUUGGCCAACCCAACACUUAAGAUACUCGUAGAUCUGUGAGCCUUCAUCUCUGUUUCCUCAGCUUUGGCCAGAGACAUAGCCAGAGUUGGUGAAGGAGUAGGGUUCCGGUGGAGAGAAAAGGACACUUUGAAUAUCCCAGAAACCAUCUCCCUUUCUGAAAAAGAGC